rnacentral:rRNA from 1 species
AACGAACGCUGGCGGCAGGCUUAACAUAUGCAAGUCGAAGGAGAAGCGGGACUUCGGUUCCGUGGACACUGGCGAACGGGUGAGUAACGCGUGGGGACCUGCCCUGGAGUGGGGACAACCGCUGGAAACGGCGGCUAAUACCGCAUACGCCCUUUGGGGAAAGUUUUAUACGCUCUAGGAUGGCCCUGCGUCGGAUUAGCUUGUUGGUGAGGUAACGGCUCACCAAGGCGACGAUCUGUAGCUGGUCUGAGAGGAUGAUCAGCCACACUGGGACUGAGACACGGCCCAG